rnacentral:rRNA from 1 species
CCCUUAGAUGUCCUGGGCCGCACGCGCGUUACACUGAUGGAUUCAACGAGCUUAUAACCUUGGCCGAGAGGCCUGGGCAAUCUUGUUAACGUGCAUCGUGAUAGGGAUAGAUUAUUGAAAUUAUUAAUCUUGAACGAGGAAUUCCUAGUAAACGCAGAUCAUCAAUCUGCAUUGAUUACGUCCCUGCCCUUUGUACACACCGCCCGUCGCACCUACCGAUUGGAUGGUCCGGUGAAGCCUCGGGAUUGUGGUUCUUGCCGCUUUAUUGUGGCGUGACCGCGAGAACUUGUCUAAACCUUAUCAUCUAGAGGAAGGUGAAGUCGUAACA